CAGUUGUCAUCGCUGAUGAAAUCACUACUGAAGAAGUCAGGAGGUGGAGAUAAUGACCAAGAAGGGAGGAGGGGCCAUUAUUCCUCCAGCCGUGCUGUGGAGAAAAUGAGGAGGCCUUCUGCAAGAAGCCCCGGCAGAGGGUUUUAGCAGGAUGAGCAAACAGGAUUAGAGUAGGGUGUCACAUAGCAAGGUUCCCUCUCCCUCUUGAACAUAAGGCUGGCUCUGUAGCCCCACACAGCCCAGCAUGGGAGCCACAGCCUUGUGUGUCUGCUGAGCACUCAAAUUGUGCCUCUUCCGAGUGGAGAUGUCCUGUGAGGACAAAAGACAGGCUACACUUCAAAGUCUUGGUACAUAGAGAAGGAACGUGAAAUAUCUCAAUCAUAUUUUGUAUUGAAAUGGUAACAUACUGGAUAUAUUCGAUUAAAUGAAACAUCAAAUUUAGCUUCACCUUUUCUUUUUACUUUUUCAAUGCAACUGAUAGAAAAUUUUAUAUUACGUGUGGCUCACAUUAUAUUUCUAUUGGGCAGUG
rnacentral:lncRNA from 1 species